UUAUGCGAUAACUGGUGUGAAUUGCAGAAUCCCGUGAACCAUCGAGUCUUUGAACGCAAGUUGCGCCCGAUGCCAUUAGGUUGAGGGCACGUCUGCCUGGGUGUCACAUAUCGAAGCCUCCUUGCCAAUUUCCCUGAUUAUUGUGCAGGGUGGAUGUUGGCCUCCCGUGAGCUCUUUCGUCUCAUGGUUGGUUGAAAAUUGAGACCUUGGUAGGGUGUGCCAUGAUAGAUGGUGGUUGUGUGACCCACGAGACCAAUCAUGCGCUGCUCUAUUGAAUUUGGCCUCCUUUACCCAUAUGCGUUUCCAAACGCUCGUGAUGAGACCUCAGGUCAGGCGGGGCUACCCGCUGAAUUUAAGCAUAUCAAUAAGCGGAGGAAAAGAAACUAACAAGGAUUCCCUUAGUAACGGCGAGCGAACCGGGAUAAGCCCACCAUGAGAAUCGGUCGCCCUCGGCGUUCGAAUUGUAGUCUGAAAAAGCGUCAA
rnacentral:rRNA from 1 species